rnacentral:rRNA from 1 species
GUAGACCGCCUGGGGAGUACGGCCGCAAGGUUAAAACUCAAAUGAAUUGACGGGGGCCCGCACAAGCGGUGGAGCAUGUGGUUUAAUUCGACGCAACGCGAAGAACCUUACCUGGCCUUGACAUGCAGAGAACUUUCCAGAGAUGGAUUGGUGCCUUCGGGAACUCUGACACAGGUGCUGCAUGGCCGUCGUCAGCUCGUGUCGUGAGAUGUUGGGUUAAGUCCCGUAACGAGCGCAACCCCUAUCCCUAGUUGCUAGCAGUUCGGCUGAGAACUCUAGGGAGACUGCCGGUGACAAACCGGAGGAAGGUGGGGAUGACGUCAGGUCAUCAUGGCCCUUACGGCCAGGGCUACACACGUGCUACAAUGGUGCGUACAGAGGGCUGCAAACCCGCGAGGGGGAGCUAAUCUCACAAAACGCAUCGUAGUCCGGAUCGGAGUCUGCAACUCGACUCCGUGAAGUCGGAAUCGCUAGUAAUCGCGAAUCAGAAUGUCGCGGUGAAUACGUUCCCGGGCCUUGUACACACCGCCCGUCACACCAUGGGAGUGGAUUGCACCAGAAGUGGUUAGUCUAACCUUCGGGAGGACG